AUCUAACGAGUCUCAAGUAGGACGAAACGCGCGUCCUGGAU
rfam:Schistosoma curassoni strain Dakar, Senegal genome assembly, scaffold: SCTD_scaffold0009834